rnacentral:rRNA from 1 species
AUGGGAUUCUGUGAUAUUCACUCUUUCAACUUGGCUUUGCUCGCCAAACAGGCGUGGCGUCUUCUAGAUAAUCCUGAUUCCUUGUGUGCUUCCAUCCUAAGGGUUAAGUACUACCCCGAUGGUGAUUUGUCGAACUCCAAGCUAAGGAAAGGAUCUUCUUUUACUUGGCAAAGCAUUAUGGCAGGCACAAAUUCCCUGAAACGUGGUUAUAUUUGGCGAGUGGAGAAUGGAAAACAUAAUAUUUGGGAAGAUGCAUGGAUCCCAAAUUGUGCCACUAGGAAAGUUGUAACGCCUAAGGCGGGACAACUGUUAACUAAGGCAGGUGACCUCAUUGUUCCUGCUUACAAUAAUUGUGAUGAAAACCUGAUUAGACAAACUAUGUGGUCCAUCGAUGUACAACGGAUUCUUUCAAUUCCACUCCCGCAACAUGAUAUGCCAGAUUUCAUUGCUUGGAGUUAUACGAAAAAUGGUAUGUUCUCGGUUCGGUCAUCUUACUUUGUUGAGUGGGAUCACCAGUAUGGCAGCAAAUUAAGAUACUCUAAUGGGAUGGGGCGAACCACAUUUAACCCUAUCUGGAGUAAGAUAUGGAAGUUAGCUUGUCCGGCAAAGCUAAAAAAAAUUAUAUGGUGUACACUUCAUGGAACACUCCCAUGUCGGGUUACACUCCGCUAAUAAAAUAUGAAGGUCUCACCCAUUUGCCCUACUUGCUCUGAGGGUUUAGAAGAUACAAAGCAUAUGCUCUUCCGGUGCAGUAAAUCAAAGGAGGUUUGGAAAAGGCUGGGGUUGGAUGACAUUAUUGAUAGAGCUUGCGAGGUUUACCGUGCUGGAGAGGCGGUGUUCUACUAA